rnacentral:rRNA from 1 species
GAUGAACGCUAGCGGCAGGCCUAACACAUGCAAGUCGAGGGGUAGAGUUCUUCGGGACUUGAGACCGGCGCACGGGUGCGUAACGCGUAUGCAAUCUACCUUAUACAGGGGAAUAGCCCAGAGAAAUUUGGAUUAAUGCCCCAUAGUGUUAUCGAAUCGCAUGGUUUGAUAACUAAAGUUCCAACGGUAUAAGAUGAGCAUGCGUCCCAUUAGUUAGUUGGUAAGGUAACGGCUUACCAAGACAAUGAUGGGUAGGGGUCCUGAGAGGGAGAUCCCCCACACUGGUACUGAGACACGGACCAGACUCCUACGGGAGGCAGCAGUGAGGAAUAUUGGUCAAUGGGCGCAAGCCUGAACCAGCCAUGCCGCGUGCAGGAAGACGGUCCUAUGGAUUGUAAACUGCUUUUANACAGGAAGAAACCCUCCACGUGUGGGAGCUUGACGGUACUGUAGGAAUAAGG